rnacentral:pre_miRNA from 1 species
UGACAGACUUAGUACUACAUGAUCCAUGUUAAUGAAACUAAUGUAGUACUGAGUCUGUCGUG